UACUAUGUUACGACUUAUCUCAUCUUAAUAACGAGAGUGACGGGCGAUGUAUACACAUUUUAGAGCCAAAAUCAUAAAAAUAAUUCUUAUUAUUAAUUACUAUUAAAUCCACCUUCAUAAAAUAAUUUCAUAUUUUAAUCCGUUUAUCUUAUAAAUAAUGUAAUCCAUCACCACUUAAUUAUAAACUGCACCUUGACCUGAAAUAAAAUUAAUUAAAAUUUUAAGAAAAUUAUCUCUAAAAAGAUUUUCAAAUAAACGGCGGUAUACAUAUUAAAUUAUAUUAAGUAAGGUUCAACGUGGAUUAUCGAUAAUGGAACAGAUUCCUCUAACUAGACUAAAAUGCCGCCAAAUUCUUUAAGUUUCAAGAUCAUAUCUAAUACUACUUAAGUCUUAAAUUUUAGAUCCCAAAUAAUAGGGUAUCUAAUCCUAGUUU
rnacentral:rRNA from 1 species